ensembl:lncRNA
CCCCCACCCCCUGGGGUCUCCCCCCUCUAUGUGUGAUAUGUACAUCAUGGUUUCUAUAGUAUAUUGAAUGUUGCUUAUUGUUGGGGACCUCUUGGGACGCCCCGCCCCCAUUGGGACGCUCUCCUCCCAUUGGCCGUCGUUCUGAUGGAUGUGUGAGCGGAGGACCGAGGAGCAGACAGACUGUACGAGUCGAUCCCCGACGGGGUCGCCGGCUCCCUGCUGCCAUGUCUUCCCUCCCUUCCCGAGCGGCGGCGGCGUCUUCUUCAUGACCACACACACACACCAGGAUGUGACCUCAUCCAAACUACAGGAUGUGACCUCAUCCACAAAAACCAGGAUGUGACCUCAUCCGAACAUCUUGUCAAUAAAAACACCAUAAAAAUAAUUCUUGUGCCGAGUCGUCUCCUGGGAGUCCUCUGAGCACAAUGUAGCAUUGUGUUAGCUACGCAACUGAGCAGAUUACUUGAGUUAGCUAGUCGCGCGACAUGGUGGUGAGCUAGCUACAGGUGGUGUAGCUAGUCGCGCGACAUGGUGGUGAGCUAGCUACAGGUGGUGUAGCUAGUCGCGAGACAUGGUGGUGAGCUAGCUACAGGUGGUGUAGCUAGUCUACUGCCGUGGCGGUGAGCCAGCUGCAGGACAACUCGUUGAGCCCACUAGCUUAAUGAAAUGCAGGCAGAUAUCAAGUGCUUGUAACCAGUGUGUGACCUCCUCCCACCCAUAGAACCGCUAUGGCUGCCCCAUUGCAUUGUGGGCCAGGAGGAUGUGGCUAAUGAUACAACCACACAACUCUGAGCUAUUGUUGGCAGGAGGGGAACUCCGUCUCCUAAAUAAAGAAACCGAACUACCAGCCGUCAUUCUGUUGUGUUUUUUAAUAGCUGUACAUGCCCAAUAUUCAUACACAUUUAAUAAAGCUGUAUUUAUGCUCUGAUAAGACCGUUAUUCAUAUCUGAACGUUUAGAUAAGCUGGACUUAAUACAUGGACUACCUGUUCAGAGUUCACCUGGCUGCAGCAUAGCCAACCCUAUGUUAUUUGUCCUGGCACUUAAUGUAAGCACUUAUUGUAUGUCGCAC